GGUCGCUUUCAACACAUUUUUCUCGGAUAUACCGUCACGAAUCUUCGUUCUCAUUUUUCUGUGUUGCCUAAGUGAAAACACGUACACUUGCAGUUAACAUUGGCAUCAACAAGUGGUUUCGGAUAAUCACGUAUUCAGGAUGAUUUUCAUAAAAAAUUUCAAGCGCUGCAAUUAAGUGCGACACGCGUUUCCGCUGCCCAUAUUUCGUUCGCUCGUUUUAUUGACAUUCGAUUCGCCAGUGCGUUGAGUGCGAAUUGAAUGACGCAUUGUGAAGAAUGAAAGCCAUUCGCGAAUUAAGUGGAAACUACACACACAAAGGGAUACUUUCACACAUUCCUGCAAUCAAUAUGAUCGGAAAGAAAGAGUGACGUAAGACGAUCUAUCCGAUGUGCUUCGAUUAGUGACAGUUAUUUAAGAAAAAUCGAACGUAAGCAUAUCGAUUACACGGAGAUCACAAGUCGCGAAAUGCAUGAUAAUUUUGACGCGAUCGGAAAGAAGGAUCAUGAACAUAAAGCUCAUCCAUGAAAUCUCAAACUUAAAUCUGUUAACUUUACCUGAUGAUUUAAAUCCCGCAUCAAAGUUUCGAAUCGCUCUCGAUACUCCAUUAAACUGUCACUCGAGCUGUUAUGCAUUUCUCUCGAAGGGCUCAAAAACUCGCGUCAAUCUUACUCGCUCGGCCAUUACUGGAGGACAUUUAGCGACUUAAUGGCUGUGACUAAAAUGACAUCCCUGCGUCGAUCUUUGCAAUACGCUAGCAAAGAACACGUUACGUACAUGGCGUGAAAGUUUUUUCCCUUAUUCGCAAGUUGAACCGAACUCCGUGAUUCUUCGUCGAAAUACGUCGCAAAAGAUGUAGAACAAAUCUUGGACUUUCGAUUUUUGCUCAGGAAUAUUAUAUACAAUAUUGCUAUUCAUAUAAUUUUUAAAAUUAAGAAUCGAGAGAAACAUGGAGAAAAUUAUGCAAAAAUUAUGUUUACAAAAUAUGUAAACAAAUAUCGUGUUCUUAAUUCGAUUACAUCUUACAAAUGUCGUCCUUGACAAUCCGGCAAGAAAACGAAAAAAAGGAAUAAACAUGACAGUUAUUUAAUUCGACAAAAAUAUCGAGGAUGUAUAUCGACAAUAAUAACACGUCAUAAACUUGAUUGCUCUUCAUGCAGAUUGAGCAAUUUAAAGGUCCCAUCGGCGAACUCUCAACUAUGUAUCCUUCGAAUCUUGAAAUAAUCUCUCUUGAUAUAUCACGAUUCUACAAAGUACAACGUUCUUUCGUGAAAGAGAAGGAGAGAAGAAGCAGAAUUAUGAAAAAUUCAACACGCCUAUAGACAAGUGACGAGAGAAAGUCCAACAAUAACAAUGAGAUGACUAUUUUUAUGACUGAAGUGAAUUAAAUUUAAAAGCAUUGUAAAGCAUGUCAUCGUUUUAAAGUACGAUAUGAAACAACCGGAAAGAUCUUAUCGCAAUUCUUCGAGUAUUAAGAGUUAGAUACGACGUAUAAAUAACAUUCAAAUAAAUAGAAUGAGAACCUCUGGUUACACAUACAAGAUAACAGAUUGACAAUCCGACACUCCACCUCGUGAUCGUACAAAAUUAGGAUC
rnacentral:lncRNA from 1 species